UACGGGGGGAGCAAGCGUUGUUCGGAUUUACUGGGCGUAAAGGGCGCGUAGGCGGUCAGCACAAGUCAAUUGUGAAAUCUCCGAGCUUAACUCGGAAAGGUCAACUGAAACUGUGCGACUAGAGUGCGGAAGGGGCAACUGGAAUUCUUGGUGUAGCGGUGAAAUGCGUAGUUAUCAAGAGGAACACCUGCGGCGAAGGCGGGUUGCUGGGCCGACACUGACGCUGAAGCGCGAAAGCCAGGGGAGCGAACGGG
rnacentral:rRNA from 1 species